GUCAGGUGCUGUACGAGAACCUCUGCAUGAAGGCGGUCAACCAGUCGAUCGGCCGCGCCAUCCGCCACCGGAACGACUACGCCUGUGUGGUGCUGUGCGACGCGCGAUACGGCAGGGCCAGCGUGGCGGAGGGCCUGCCGGAGUGGAUCCGCCGGGGGCUGCAGCACCACGGCCGCUUCGGGCCCGCCUUCGGCCAGAUCAGACAGUUCUUCACGACCAUGCAAGAGAAGUUUCGAUCUUCAUGAAACAAGUGGGAAUUGACAACGUUGAGGGAACAUUUCUCCUCUCGUGUAACCGAACGGCACAACGUUUGCCAGCGGGAAUAGGCACUUUUCGUCGCAUCUUCUCCAAGUAACCCCUAUGUCAAUAUGUGCAAACGGCUGAGUUUGCCUGUGGCGCUGAGCGGAUGGUGUGAAUGCUAUAGCCUGUGGAGUGAAAAGGACGUGUAUUCACGGAUAAUUUUUAUUUUUAUAGGCAUAGUUCA